rnacentral:rRNA from 1 species
GAGUUUGAACCUGGCUCAGGACGAACGCUGGCGGCGUGCCUAAUACAUGCGAGUCGAGCGAGCUUGCCUAGAUGAUUUUAGUGCUUGCACUAAAUGAAACUAGAUACAAGCGAGCGGCGGACGGGUGAGUAACACGUGGGUAACCUGCCCAAGAGACUGGGAUAACACCUGGAAACAGAUGCUAAUACCGGAUAACAACACUAGACGCAUGUCUAGAGUUUGAAAGAUGGUUCUGCUAUCACUCUUGGAUGGACCUGCGGUGCAUUAGCUAGUUGGUAAGGUAACGGCUUACCAAGGCAAUGAUGCAUAGCCGAGUUGAGAGACUGAUCGGCCACAUUGGGACUGAGACACGGCCCAAACUCCUACGGGAGGCAGCAGUAGGGAAUCUUCCACAAUGGACGAAAGUCUGAUGGAGCAACGCCGCGUGAGUGAAGAAGGGUUUCGGCUCGUAAAGCUCUGUUGGUAGUGAAGAAAGAUAGAGGUAGUAACUGGCCUUUAUUUGACGGUAAUUACUUAG